AUUGAACGCUGGCGGCAGGCCUAACACAUGCAAGUCGAACGGUAACAGGAAGCAGCUUGCUGCUUUGCUGACGAGUGGCGGACGGGUGAGUAAUGUCUGGGAAACUGCCUGAUGAGGGGGAUAACUACUGGAAACGGUAGCUAAUACCGCAUAACGUCGCAAGACCAAAGAGGGGGACCUUCGGGCCUCUUGCCAUCGGAUGUGCCCAGAUGGGAUUAGCUAGUAGGUGGGGUAACGGCUCACCUAGGCGACGAUCCCUAGCUGGUCUGAGAGGAUGACCAGCCACACUGGAACUGAGACACGGUCCAGACUCCUACGGGAGGCAGCAGUGGGGAAUAUUGCACAAUGGGCGCAAGCCUGAUGCAGCCAUGCCGCGUGUAUGAAGAAGGCCUUCGGGUUGUAAAGUACUUUCAGCGGGGAGGAAGGGAGUAAAGUUAAUACCUUUGCUCAUUGACGUUACCCGCAGAAGAAGCACCGGCUAACUCCGUG
rnacentral:rRNA from 1 species